AGGCUUAUAAGAUCGGGUUGCGGU
rnacentral:siRNA from 1 species